AACGAACGCUGGCGGCAGGCUUAACACAUGCAAGUCGAACGGCUGUAGCAAUACAGCAGUGGCAGACGGGUGAGUAACACGUGGGAACCUUCCUAGGGGUACGGAACAACUCAGGGAAACUUGAGCUAAUACCGUAUACGUCCGAGAGGAGAAAGAUUUAUCGCCCUUAGACGGGCCCGCGUCGGAUUAGCUAGUUGGUGGGGUAACGGCCUACCAAGGCGACGAUCCGUAGCUGAUCUGAGAGGAUGAUCAGCCACACUGGGACUGAGACACGGCCCAGACUCCUACGGGAGGCAGCAGUGGGGAAUCUUGGACAAUGGGCGCAAGCCUGAUCCAGCCAUGCCGCGUGAGUGAAGAAGGCCUUAGGGUUGUAAAGCUCUUUUGGCAGGGACGAUAAUGACGGUACCUGCAGAAUAAGCCCCGGCAAACUUCGUGCCAGCCGCCGCAGUAACAC
rnacentral:rRNA from 1 species